AUGAAAACUGAAAUGGCAAACUGGUCAAACACUAGUUCACAUUCACCUGGAGAUAUCAUUAAUCAUUCCACACGGGAACAACUAGAUUUUCCGACAGGCAGCAGCACAUCAGAAACGAUUCAUUCAACAUUUCCUUUCAGCUAAGUUUAAGUAUACUAUAAAGAUAAUAAAACAGUAAUAUUAGUCUUCAACUGGUCUCAAACCCUAUAAAGGGGGUCCGGAACAGGAAUUGAAUAUACCUUGGAAAACUUCAAAGUUAUUGUUCUUUUUUUUUAUAAAAACUAUCACUUACUCAACCCACUGUACAUCACUUCAGGUCUCGAGAGAUCUCCAUUUGAUACAAUUGAAGCAAACACUGAGCACUUCUCGUAAUUGGUCAAAGCCUCCUAUAAGACUAACUACUUUGGAUGCAUUCUACUUGCAUCGUCAAAUCCUUAACCCCAGCAUGACGAAAUAUUUCAGAUACUUGCGUCUUUGCAGAUGACUUGUCAGUCUCGCUUGAGACAAGAAGAUGGAGAGUUCCAAUAACAUCUGUGUUUGUAAAGCUCCAAACAUGCAGCUUUUGAAUCCCAGAUAAACCUUUUAUCUUCAUAACAUCGUUAACUGCUUCUUUUACAUCAUGUUCAUGAGCCCUUGGAACUCUUUGCAGUAAAAUUUCUG
rnacentral:misc_RNA from 1 species